rnacentral:rRNA from 1 species
GACGAACGCUGGCGGCGUGCUUAACACAUGCAAGUCGAACGGAAAGGCCCUGCUUUUGUGGGGUGCUCGAGUGGCGAACGGGUGAGUAACACGUGAGUAACCUGCCCUUGACUUUGGGAUAACUUCAGGAAACUGGGGCUAAUACCGGAUAGGAGCUCCUGCUGCAUGGUGGGGGUUGGAAAGUUUCGGCGGUUGGGGAUGGACUCGCGGCUUAUCAGCUUGUUGGUGGGGUAGUGGCUUACCAAGGCUUUGACGGGUAGCCGGCCUGAGAGGGUGACCGGCAACAUGGGACCUGAGAUACGGCCCAGACUCAUACGGGGGGAAGAAGGGGGGAAUAUGGAACAAUGGGCGGAGGCCUGAUGAAGCAACGCGGGGGGCGGGAUGACGGCCUUCGGGUUGUAAACCGCUUUCGCCUGUAACGAAGCGGGAGUGACGGUAAUGGGUAAAGAAGCACCGGCUAACUACGU